UACGUAGGGUGCGAGCGUUGUCCGGAAUUAUUGGGCGUAAAGGGCUCGUAGGCGGUUUGUCGCGUCGGGAGUGAAAUCCAGGUGCUUAACACCUGGCUUGCUUUCGAUACGGGCAGACUAGAGGCAUGCAGGGGAGAACGGAAUUCCUGGUGUAGCGGUGAAAUGCGCAGAUAUCAGGAGGAACACCGGUGGCGAAGGCGGGUCUCUGGGCCGAUAUUGACGCUGAGGAGCGAAAGCGUGGGGGAGCGAACAGG
rnacentral:rRNA from 1 species